rnacentral:lncRNA from 1 species
ACUAGUGGUGUAUUAGGGGGUUCCUUUUACUGGGUUGUUUAAGGUAACUGAAAGUGAUGGGCAAACACACUGAGAAAUAAGGUAAUAGGAAAGACAGAAUUCUUUCCUCUCCUCCCCCCACCCAAUUCUGCUAUUUUUUCAGUUGAAGUCAAGCAGGGAUUCAGAAUUGGAUGUAUAUGUUUGAGAGAGAAUGUGUUCUGGAUUUGGAAGAAAAUUUUCAACUGUAAAUAUUCUUGCAAUGCUACUCCAGUAAAUGUCUUUCCUCAAAGCCAACUGUCCUCUGGUUAUCUCCUGGAAGGAUUGAUUUCUCUUGUGAAGGCAAGGCCCAGUUAGACACCUCAGUGAACCCUGUAGUACCCAGUGAGACCAGGGGACCUCUGGAGCUCAGGAGUUCUAAGCCACAGUGGGAUAGUACCUACUUUGAUAUUAUUAUGGAAAGCUCCUAGGAGG